rnacentral:rRNA from 1 species
UUGGGAACUGAGGCUAAACCCGGAUAAGUGAAUUGUUCUGGAAUGAUUUUUCACUCAAAGGCAACGCUUAAGGAUGAGUUGGCGGCGGAUUAUGGUCGUUGGCGGGGUAAAGGCCCACCAAGCCUAAAAUCCGUAGGGGCCCUGAGAGGGGGUGCCUCGAGAAGGGAACUGAGAUACUGUCCCUAGCCCUACGGGGUGCAGCAGGCGCGAAAACUUUACAAUGCACGCAAGUGUGAUAAGGGAAUCCCAAGUGCUUAUGUUUUACAUAGGCUUUUGCCAAGAGUAAAUAUCUUGGCGAAUAAGUGGUGGGUAAGACUGGUGCCAGCCGCCGCGGUAACACCAGCGCCACAAGUGGUGAUCACAUUUAUUGGGUCUAAAGCGUCCGUAGCAGGUUUGAACAGUCUUUUGUGAAAUUGUUGGGCUUAACCUAACAGCGUGCAGGAGAUACUCUCAAACUUGGAACCGGGAGGGGCUAGAGGUAUUCCGGGGGGAGCGGUAAAAUGUUAUAAUCCUCGGAGGACCACCUGUGGCGAAGGCGUCUAGCCAGAACGGAUUCGACUGUGAGGGACGAAAGCUAGGGGAGCAAAACGGAUUAGAUACCCGAGUAGUCCUAGCCGUAAACGCUGCGAGCCAGAUGUUACGCAUCCUUGUGGAUGUGUAGUAUCGAAACGAAGGUGUUAAGCUCGCCACCUGGGAAGUAUAGUCGCAAGACCGAAACUUAAAGGAAUUGGCGGGGGAGCACCACAAGGGGUGCGGCGUGCGGUUUAAUUUAAUUCUACACAGAGAAUCUCACCAGGGGCGACGGCAGGAUGAAGGCCAGUCUGAAGGGCUUACCUGACGAGCCGAGAGGUAGUGCAUGGCCGCCGUCAGCUCGUGCUGUAAAGUGUCCUGUU